AGGUUACUGCUAUCGGUGUUCGCCUAAGCCAUGCGAGUCAUAUGUUCUUCGUGAACAUGGCGUACUGCUCAGUAACACGUGGAUAACCUGCCCUUGGGUCCGGCAUAACCCCGGGAAACUGGGGAUAAUUCCGGAUAACGCAUAUAUGCUGGAAUGCUUUAUGUGUAAAAUGGAUUCGUCUGCCCAAGGAUGGGUCUGCGGCCUAUCAGGUAGUAGUGGGUGUAAUGUACCUACUAGCCUACGACGGGUACGGGUUGUGAGAGCAAGAGCCCGGAGAUGGAUUCUGAGACAUGAAUCCAGGCCCUACGGGGCGCAGCAGGCGCGAAAACUUUACAAUGCGGGAAACCGUGAUAAGGGGACACCGAGUGCCAGCAUCCUAUGCUGGCUGUCCGGGUGUGUAAAAUACACCUGUUAGCAAGGGCCGGGCAAGACCGGUGCCAGCCGCCGCGGUAACACCGGCGGCCCGAGUGGUGAUCGUGAUUAUUGGGUCUAAAGGGUCCGUAGCCGGUUUGGUCAGUCCUCCGGGAAAUCUGACAGCUUAACUGUUAGGCUUUCGGAGGAUACUGCCAGACUUGGAACCGGGAGAGGUAAGAGGUACUACAGGGGUAGGAGUGAAAUCUUGUAAUCCCUGUGGGACCACCUGUGGCGAAGGCGUCUUACCAGAACGGGUUCGACGGUGAGGGACGAAAGCUGGGGGCACGAACCGGAUUAGAUACCCGGGUAGUCCCAGCCGUAAACGAUGCUCGCUAGGUGUCAGGCAUGGCGCGACCGUGUCUGGUGCCGCAGGGAAGCCGUGAAGCGAGCCACCUGGGAAGUACGGCCGCAAGGCUGAAACUUAA
rnacentral:rRNA from 1 species